UGCACUCACUACUGUAAGUCGCUCUGGAUAAGAGCGUCUGCUAAAUGAAUAAAA
rfam:Salmo salar isolate Sally breed double haploid chromosome ssa07, whole genome shotgun sequence.